AUGUUCUCUGUAGCUCUGCUGCUGCUGCUGGCUGCUGGAUCCUAUGUAUCAUGUGAAACUCUGACUCAGCCAGAAUCUUCAACUGUGCAGCCAGGUCAACGUCUGACCAUCAGAUGUCAGGUCUCUUAUUCUUUGGGCAGCUACUACACAGCUUGGAUCAGACAGGCUGCUGGGAAAGGACUGGACUGGAUUGGGAUGAAACAUGGUGGUGGAGCUUCAUACUACAAAGAUUCACUAAGGAACAAAUUUAGCAUAGAUGUAGACACUUCCAGCAAAACAGUGACUCUGAAUGGACAGAAUAUGCAGCCUGAAGACUCUGCUGUGUAUUACUGUGCCAGACGACCACAGUGA